rnacentral:rRNA from 1 species
AUUGAACGCUGGCGGCAGGCUUAACACAUGCAAGUCGAGCGGAGAUGAGGUGCUUGCACCCUAUCUUAGCGGCGGACGGGUGAGUAAUGUUUAGGAAUCUGCCUAUUAGUGGGGGACAACAUUCCGAAAGGAAUGCUAAUACCGCAUACGUACUACGGGAGAAAGCAGGGGACCUUCGGACCUUGCGCUAAUACAUGAGCCUAAGUCGGAUUAGCUAGUUGGUGGGGUAAAGGCCUACCAAGGCGACGAUCUGUAGCGGGUCUGAGAGGAUGAUCCGCCACACUGGGACUGAGACACGGCCCAGACUCCUGCGGGAGGCAGCAGUGGGGAAUAUUGGACAGUGGGGGGAACCCUGUUCCAGCCAUGCCACGUGUGAGAAGAAGGCCUUAUGGUUGUGAAGCACUUUAAGCGGGGAGGAGGCUACUGAGACUAAUACUCUUGGAUAGUGGAUGUUACUCGCAGAAUAAGCACCGGCUAACUCUGUGCCAGCAGCCGCCGUAACAC